rnacentral:rRNA from 1 species
CAGUCGCCACGGUAAUGCGUAGGUGGCAAGCGUUGUCCGGAAUUAUUGGGCGUAAAGCGCGCGCAGGUGGUUUAAUAAGUCUGAUGUGAAAGCCCACGGCUCAACCGUGGAGGGUCAUUGGAAACUGUUAAACUUGAGUGCAGGAGAGAAAAGUGGAAUUCCUAGUGUAGCGGUGAAAUGCGUAGAGAUUAGGAGGAACACCGGUGGCGAAGGCGGCUUUUUGGCCUGUAACUGACACUGAGGCGCGAAAGCGUGGGGAGCAAACAGGAUUAGAGACCCCAGUAGUCCCUGUCUCUUAUAC